rnacentral:ncRNA from 1 species
CUCCCUGUAUUCAUAAAGAGUACAGAAGGAUGAAUUAAAUUCAUCCAAAACUCCUUUAAUUGCUGGAAGUUCCUAAAGCCUAACUAACCACAACAUGAUCAUGAAAUAAAGUUGAGUGUGAUGGUUACGAAAGUAGAAAAAAUAGUUAGGAUUGCAUAGGGUUAAAUCCUAAGUGCUAAAACAAUGGAUAAUCAGCAGGGAAGCUCCGAAUAGGAGAACCUUCAACGACUAUCUCGAAAGAGAGUACCUAGAAGUCUAGGGAAAUGGGGAGCAUCCAGUAUGGAUGGUGAUAUAGUCUGUACUUAUGUGAAAGCAUAAG